rnacentral:rRNA from 1 species
UACGGAGGAUCCAAGCGUUAUCCGGAUUUAUUGGGUUUAAAGGGUGCGCAGGUUGUUUGAUAAGUCAGUGGUGAAAGUCUGUCGCUUAACGGUAGGAUUGCCAUUGAUACUGUUAGACUUGAAUAUGGAUGAGGUAGGCGGAAUGUGUAGUGUAGCGGUGAAAUGCAUAGAUAUUACACAGAACACCGAUUGCGAAGGCAGCUUACUAAUCCAUCAUUGACGCUGAGGCACGAAAGCGUGGGGAUCAAACAGGA